rnacentral:rRNA from 1 species
GACGAACGUUGGCGGCGUGCUUAACACAUGCCAGUCGAACGGAAAGGGAUUGAAGCUUGCUUCUAUCCGUCUUAGUGGCGAACGGGUGAGUCACGCGUAAUCAACCUUCCCUUCUGAGGGGGACACCAGUUGGAAACGACUGCUCAUACCGCAUACGCCCUAAACUCGGCAUCGAUGGUAGAUGAAAGGUGGCCGCUACAUGUAAGCUGUCACUGCAGGUGGGGGUUGCGGCUGUUUAGCUAGUUGGAGGGGUAACGGCGCACGAAGGCGAUGAUCAGGAGUCGGUCUGAGAGGAUGGACGGCCACACUGGGACUGAGACACGGCCCAGUCGCCUUCGGGAGGCAGCAGUAGGGAAUCGUGCGCAAUGGACGAGAGUCUGACGGAGCAACGCCGCGGGAGGGAGGACGGCCUUCGGGUUGUAAAGGUCGGUUAUUCGGGUGGAAAGGGCUUCUUGCGAAUAGUGAGAAGGAUUGACGGUACCGGAAUAGAAAGCAACGGCUAACUACGUG